rnacentral:rRNA from 1 species
GACGAACGCUGGCGGCGUGCUUAACACAUGCAAGUCGAACGGAAAGGCCCUGCUUUUGUGGGGUGCUCGAGUGGCGAACGGGUGAGUAACACGUGAGUAACCUGCCCUUGACUUUGGGAUAACUUCAGGAAACUGGGGCUAAUACCGGAUAGGAGCUCCUGCUGCAUGGUGGGGUUUGGAAAGUUUCGGCGGUUGGGGAUGGACUCGCGGCUUAUCAGCUUGUUGGUGGGGUAGUGGCUUACCAAGGCUUUGACGGGUAGCCGGCCUGAGAGGGUGACCGGCCACAUUGGGACUGAGAUACGGCCCAGACUCCUACGGGAGGCAGCAGUGGGGAAUAUUGCACAAUGGGCGGAGGCCUGAUGCAGCAACGCCGCGUGCGGGAUGACGGCCUUCGGGUUGUAAACCGCUUUCGCCUGUGACGAAGCGUGAGUGACGGUAAUGGGUAAAGAAGCACCGGCUAACUACGUG